rnacentral:rRNA from 1 species
UACGUAGGGGGCAAGCGUUGUCCGGAUUCACUGGGCGUAAAGCGCGCGCAGGCGGUCUUCUACGUCUGGGGUGAAAACCCGGGGCUCAACCCCGGGACUGCCUUGGAUACGGGAAGACUUGAGGAUCGGAGAGGCAAGGGGAAUUCCACGUGUAGCGGUGAAAUGCGUAGAGAUGUGGAGGAACACCUGUGGCGAAGGCGCCUUGCUGGCCGAUUUCUGACGCUGAGGCGCGAAAGCGUGGGGAGCAAACAGG